CGCCAGACUCCUACGGGAGGCAGCAGUGGGGAAUAUUGCACAAUGGGGGAAACCCUGAUGCAGCGACGCCGCGUGAGUGAAGAAGUAUUUCGGUAUGUAAAGCUCUAUCAGCAGGGAAGAAAAUGACGGUACCUGAUUAAGAAGCCCCGGCUAACUACGUGCCAGCAGCCGCGGUAAUACGUAGGGGGCAAGCGUUAUCCGGAUUUACUGGGUGUAAAGGGAGCGUAGACGGUGAUGCAAGUCAGAAGUGAAAGCCCGGGGCUCAACUCCGGGACUGCUUUUGAAACUGUGUGACUGGAGUGCAGGAGAGGUAAGCGGAAUUCCUGGUGUAGCGGUGAAAUGCGUAGAUAUCAGGAGGAACACCAGUGGCGAAGGCGGCUUACUGGACUGUAACUGACGUUGAGGCUCGAAAGCGUGGGGAGCAAACAGGAUUAGAUACCCGCGUAGC
rnacentral:rRNA from 1 species